GGUAUAAAAGUUUAGGUUACGUAUAUUGCCCUUACCUCCUCUCCCCCCUAGGAAUACAUAUUUUUUAAAGUGAGACUCACUCUCCUGGCCAUAUACCCCACACAUACAAAUACACACAUGCAUGUACAUGCACUUCCAGAUGUAGUUGAUAAUAUUCAGAUGCCUAGGUCACUCAUUCAAGUAGAACUAGAAGAGAAACAUAUUUAGGGGCCAUCUGCUCUACAGUAUAAGUUUGUUUUGUUUUUUUUUUUCUUUUAGUGCUUGAACAAAUUUACCAUAAAAGCUGGAUUGAUUAGUGAAUAUGGAUUUGGAUUGCCCAAGUUGAGGCCAUUAAGGUACUUCUUUACUUAAAAGAAAUGAUAAGUUUAAAAGACCCUAUUCACCAGUUCUUGAAGAUCUUGGAAAUGCCAUGUUUCUCUACACAAAGGGUGCACCCACAUGCAGGUCCGUGUGGACUUGGGGCUCACGAUCCCUGCUCUUAAGGCAAACUCCAGCCUGUCUGGGCCAUGAACAGAGUCAAGUGAGAGAGAACAAAGACCUGGAGUGUGCAGCACUGGCUUGUAUGUGGUCAGGCAGGAGCCUUGUUCCUUUCUCAAGAAAACUUCAGGACCAUCAAGCUUGGAAAGAAAUACGUUUUUAAUGCUGAUUUGCAGCCUAUGCCAGCUGAGGAAUAUGCUAGGACAUUGAGAACGCAGAACAUGCAAAGAAUAUAGGCUACUCAAGCAACAGCUACUCUAACCUUGCCUUCUCACUUAGGACAACUCUCUACGGCCAGAAACUACCAUGUGAGGCAAGUGAGUUUUUUGCAUGAAGGGCUUCUGCAGCUUCCCCCUCAAGUCAGGUCUACCUGUUUUAUUUAUUUUUAUUCUUAGAAACAUCAGUUCUGUGUCUCCAAAGACUUUUAUCCUUAGGAAAAUAAGUAUAUAACCUCUCCGCUGAGUUUGAAUGAAUCUUUGGAGCCCAAGAGAGUUACACUUAAUUUUCAGGAGAAAAAAAAUUUGUUGGACUAGCUCCCAUGUGGGAUGUUAAGAGAAAGUCCAUAUGCACUUCUUCCAUCUCUGCCACAUGUUUUUUUUUUUAAUAAGUCCUUGUAGAGUUCAGUUUGCAGAUGCUGAGUCUCAGUGCUUCCUCAGCCAGGGGGGUUUAUUGCCCUUGUAGCAAGAACCAUGAGCAAGGAAAACUGUAUCAGUGGCCCUUCCUAUGUUAUAUGUUUUCUAGUGUCUUAUUUUGAAGAAAUGGCAUGGGGACAUGGCAGAUGGGGGUCAAAGUAGAGAAUUGGUUCUAGAACUGGGGUACUUUGUCUCAUGUGCAGCAUCUGUUCUGAAUAUGUAGUGACAGCUGCCUCACAGGUGGGUACAUUUAAUCUCUUUUCCAUCUGAUGAUCUCCAUGCCCUUUUUACUGACAGAGGGCUUCCACUUUCUACACACUUAACCAGAGUCAUCCAGAUGGGUGAGUAUUGGCACCACUGAAGAACCCCCAGUGCUUCCCAGCUGUGUCUGGGUGUGGUUUGGGUACUAGGACAAGAGCAGGUGGGCAGCAUGUGAGAAUCCUCACCCUAGAAAGAGAUGGGAGAAGAGAGACAUCCAGACACAUACCUUUUCUCUUCUGCCAGGUCCCAGGAACCCAGGGAAAUCUUUGAAGUGAUGUCUUUUUUGUUCAGGUGGAAAUAGAAAACUUUGCCCCACUGUUUCUCUUGUCAUUGUCUCUUAUUAAUUCAAAUUUGUACCACACUGCUGCUCACACACAUGUAUGUGUUUCUUACCUUAACCUAAACCUUCUCAGCCCCUGAAGUCAUUAUUCUACUCUUUUUUUUUUUCUUAUUUUAUGGCACUAGAGAAUGAGAACCUAAAGUCUUAGAAAUCUUAACUUGAAAAAGAAUCUCUAACUGGCAUGGUUUGAUUAAUUACCUUUCUCCUGAAAGAUGAAUGAUUUUCUUUCCUAGUGCUAUAUAAUAGAUCUUGAAUAAGUGAAACCUUUGCUGCUACUUUCCUGGGUUUACAUCAGUUUUUUCUUCCCUUAAUAAUUUCUUAUCUGUGCUUCUCUGAUGACUGUUAAUUUCUAACAAGUGCAGGAAGGGGUGAGCUUGUGAUUUCUUCUCUUAAUCCCCUCCUCACCCCACUUCCAAAUUACACACUAACCUCUAUCUCCUAGAGCCUUUUGGCACAUGUACAAGAUUGGUGGGACCGUGCUCAUCAGAAGCUACCUGUGUUCCUUCUCACCAUGCUGCAGCUCUCAGAGCUGACCCCUGAGUAUCUGUGACUACCCAUCCCAAAGGGUUACUGUAGAGGGAGAGAGGCCUUAAUUUUGCUUUUCUCCAUUCCUGUUUUAUGACUUGGCCUUCAGAUCUUUCGCACUCUGGCCGCCUCCUUUUUCCUCCCAGGAAUUGCUUCCAGGUGACCUGCCACAUGCAUUUCCCAGCUGCUCUGCUCACCUUUGCCCACCUUCCAGUGACCCUGAGAGCACAGACCUGAAUCAUGUGGCCUGUGCAGAGCUCAGAGAACUGUGAGGACCACCCAUGCCUGUUAAGACUCUGCUCGGGGACAGAGAUGGAUGGGUAAAUGGUGCUGUUGGAGAAAUUUUUACCUUCAAACCAGGCUCUGUGUCAUCCCUGCACCCCUCACCCCCACCCGUUCCCUGAGGGGGUAAGAGGCAGAGGGUGAUCCCAGCCACUUGGCCUAGCCUGGAGUGCUGCGGUGUGUGGAAGCCGCUGCUUGCUUGUUUCUCCACCAGGCCUGCUCCAAAUGCUUAGCCAAUCUCUGGGGCCAACACAGUCCCUACAUGGCGACUUAACACCAGGUUCCAUUAGCUGUCCAAGUGACUGUGUUUCCACCCAAUACUUUUGGCACUUCAGGAUGGGGGGAGGAGGGUUAUUUAAAAUAAAUAAAAAUCUAAGGUGGCAGUAGAGGAUUUCUUUUGCUUUAAAAUCUUUGGACUAAAAAGAUGUUUUUAUAUAUAAAUAUAUAAAGUAAAUUGUUAUGUAACUAUUAUUGUUUCCUGUAUGUUCUAAUUUUGUUUUAUGAUGUAAUUAAAAGAAAUAAGCUGUGAA